rnacentral:rRNA from 1 species
AUUGAACGCUGGCGGCAGGCCUAACACAUGCAAGUCGAGCGGUAGAGAGGAGCUUGCUUCUCUUGAGAGCGGCGGACGGGUGAGUAAUGCAUAGGAAUCUGCCUGGAAGUGGGGGAUAACGUUCGGAAACGGACGCUAAUACCGCAUACGUCCUACGGGAGAAAGUGGGGGAUCUUCGGACCUCACGCUAUCAGAUGAGCCUAGGUCGGAUUAGCUAGUUGGUGAGGUAAAGGCUCACCAAGGCGACGAUCCGUAACUGGUCUGAGAGGAUGAUCAGUCACACUGGAACUGAGACACGGUCCAGACUCCUACGGGAGGCAGCAGUGGGGAAUAUUGGACAAUGGGCGCAAGCCUGAUCCAGCCAUGCCGCGUGUGUGAAGAAGGUCUUCGGAUUGUAAAGCACUUUAAGUUGGGAGGAAGGUCAGUAGCUUAAUUCGUUGCUGAUUUGACGUUACCGACAGAAUAAGCACCGGCUAACUCUGUGCCAGCAGCCGCGGUAA